UACGAAGGGGGCUAGCGUUGCUCGGAAUGACUGGGCGUAAAGGGCUCGUAGGCGGUCUGUCACGUCGGGAGUGAAAACACGGGGCUUAACCCCGUGCCUGCUUCCGAUACGGGCAGACUAGAGGUAUGCAGGGGAGAACGGAAUUCCUGGUGUAGCGGUGAAAUGCGCAGAUAUCAGGAGGAACACCAAUGGCGAAGGCAGCUCGCUGGGACGGUACUGACGCUGAGACGCGAAAGCGUGGGGAGCAAACAGG
rnacentral:rRNA from 1 species